AGAGUUUGAUCCUGGCUCAGGAUGAACGCUAGCGGCAGGCUUAACACAUGCAAGUCGAGGGGUAACGAUGGUGCUUGCACCAGGCGACGACCGGCGAACGGGUGAGUAACGCGUAUGCAAUCUGCCUCUAACUGGAGGAUAGCCCGAAGAAAUUCGGAUUAAUACUCCAUAAAAUCUUAAAUUCGCAUGUUUUUAAGAUUAAAGCUCCGGCGGUUAGAGAUGAGCAUGCGUGCCAUUAGUUUGUUGGUGUGGUAACGGCGCACCAAGGCAACGAUGGCUAGGGGGUCUGAGAGGAUGAUCCCCCACACUGGUACUGAGACACGGACCAGACUCCUACGGGAGGCAGCAGUGAGGAAUAUUGGGCAAUGGACGCAAGUCUGACCCAGCCAUGCCGCGUGCAGGAUGAAUGCCCUACGGGUUGUAAACUGCUUUUCUACAGGAAGAAACUUCCGAACGUGUUCGGGACUGACGGUACUGUAGGAAUAAGCAUCGGCUAACUCCGUGCCAGCAGCCGCGGUAAUACGGAGGAUGCAAGCGUUAUCCGGAUUUAUUGGGUUUAAAGGGUGCGUAGGCGGAAUAAUAAGUCAGUGGUGAAAUCCUGCGGCUCAACCGUAGAAUUGCCAUUGAUACUGUUAUUCUUGAGUUCAGUUGAGGUGGGUGGAAUGUGUGAUGUAGCGGUGAAAUGCUUAGAUAUUACACAGAACGCCAAUGGCGAAGGCAGCUCACUAAACUGAAACUGACGCUGAGGCACGAAAGCGUGGGGAGCGAACAGGAUUAGAUACCCUGGUAGUCCACGCCGUAAACGAUGAUCACUCGCUGUUGGCGAUACACAGUCAGUGGCUGAGCGAAAGCAUUAAGUGAUCCACCUGGAGAGUACGGUCGCAAGAUUGAAACUCAAAGGAAUUGACGGGGGCCCGCACAAGCGGAGGAACAUGUGGUUUAAUUCGAUGAUACGCGAGGAACCUUACCUGGGCUUAAAUGCAGGACGACGUCCCGAGAAAUUGGGAUUUCUUCGGACGGACUGCAAGGUGCUGCAUGGUUGUCGUCAGCUCGUGCCGUGAGGUGUCGGGUUAAGUCCCAUAACGAGCGCAACCCUUAUUGUUAGUUACCAGCGGAUAAUGCCGGGGACUCUAACAAAACUGCCGGUGUAGACCGAGAGGAAGGUGGGGAUGACGUCAAAUCAGCACGGCCCUUAUGUCCAGGGCUACACACGUGUUACAAUGGCCAGUACAAAGGGCAGCUACCAGGCGACUGGAUGCUAAUCUCUAAAGCUGGUCUUAGUUCGGAUUGAAGUCUGCAACUCGACUUCAUGAAGUUGGAUUCGCUAGUAAUCGCGCAUCAGCCAUGGCGCGGUGAAUACGUUCCCGGGCUUGUACACACCGCCCGUCAAGCCAUGGAAGCUGGGGGUACCUAAAGUCCGUAACCGCAAGGAGCGGCCUAGGGUAAAACUAGUGACUGGGGCUAAGUCGUAACAAGGUA
rnacentral:rRNA from 1 species